UGGGUCCAUUCUAAUCAAGAGUCCUUAGAAGUAGAGAACCUUUCCUGGCUGGGGUCAGAGAGAGGUGGUGAUGGAAUAUGGGUCAGAGAGAUGCUGCUUUGCUGGCUUGAAAGUUGAAGGAAGAGAACCAUGAGCUCAAGAAUGGGAACAGCGUCGAGGAGAUGGAAAAGGCCAGAAAACAGCUCCUCCCCUAGAGCGUUCCAAAAGGAAUGCAGCCCCACCAACACCUAUUUUAUAACCCGGAAGCUGUCUCAGGUCUGGGAGUGCAUGCCUGGAAAAUCCCAUGGACAGUGGACCCUGGGCUGCAGUCCAUGGGGUCGCUGAGGGUCGGACACGCCUGAGCGACUUCACUUUCACUUUUCACUUUCAUGCAUUGGAGAAGGAAAUGGCAACCCACUCCAGUGUUCUUGCCUGGGGAAUCCCAGGGACGGGGGAGCCUGGUGGGCUGCCAUCUAUGGGGUCACACAGAGUAGGACACGACUGAAGCGACUUAGCAGCAGCAACAACAUGGCAUGCAGAAUCUUAUUUUCCCAACCAGGGAUCAAACCUGAGCCUACUACCAUGGAAUCUCGGAGUCCUAAUCUCUGGACCACCAGGGAAGUCCCAGGCAUGCAUUUUUAACAGUCCCAAUUCCCCUGACUUCUGCAGUAUCACCUUUCUGGCAGAUUUACGUGUACAUGGCCAAGGAAACAACUCCAUGCUUUCUAAAUGUCUAAAGAACAUACAGCAGGUUCCUCCUGUCUUUUGCUUGAGCUCAUCAUUUUGGCGAAUUACUGGCAGGUGGAGGUUCCAGCCAAAGGCCUUUCAACUCCUCCUGUGGUGUCUCAUGAAUCAAGAUAUUUUGUGCUAGAUGCUGGCUAUGAAUACAAUUUAUGUGCUGUAUUCUGGCUCCUAAACUUUUUGUGCGUUUUAAAAUAUGUUCAUUAUAUUACAGCCAGUUGAGAUCACGUUACAAAAAUAUAAAUCACCAUUAACAGCUGGCUAUUAUCAAAUUAUAAAAAAUAUAAAUCAUUGUUAAGGAUCACAGAUUACAUUUGCUAGAUAUUAUGUUGUUGGUUAAAAAAAGAAUCCCUGGUGCCAAUUUCAUUGUGCCUCUGUCAGUUGGGUUCUAGUAUUUUUUUUUUUUUAAUCUCUGUGUAAGAGUUUGGGGAAAUGUACUUACUUUAUAAAAGAAGGAAGUCCAGGAAGAUGAGUUGUAUAUUUAUCUGGUGGCCAUUUUUCUUUGAUAUUAAAUGUUUAUUUCCAUUUUCUUUUUACUUCCAGGGGGCCCAUUCUGCUUAUCUCUGCUCCUUCUCUUUUUCUUUGCAUCUCUCAACUUAAAGAAAUUGAAGUUGCUCUAAUUGUCAGAGACUAUGAUUCAAGCUCUUGGGCUCUCAUAGCAUUUCAGAUAGAAUCUCCUGGAGCAGGAGGGUGGGAAAGACCCAUUAGAAAAUAAUGGCUCAUCAGAAAAGAUCCUUUGCCUCAUUCAAAGACCACCACUGCAGCACUUUUUUCUCCAGGUGAUUUCCCUGAUUUCAGGUGUGUUUGCCACAUAUCUGUUAAUAUUUCCACUCUGACCAUAUUUUCAUUUAAGACCUUUACUAAAAAAUAGAAACAGUGGU
ensembl:lncRNA